rnacentral:rRNA from 1 species
GUGAAAUGUUGGGUUAAGUCCCGCAACGAGCGCAACCCUUAUCCUUUGUUGCCAGCACGUAAUGGUGGGAACUCAAGGGAGACUGCCGGUGACAAACCGGAGGAAGGUGGGGAUGACGUCAAGUCAUCAUGGCCCUUACGAGUAGGGCUACACACGUGCUACAAUGGCAGAUACAAAGUGAAGCGAACUCGCGAGAGCAAGCGGACCACAUAAAGUCUGUCGUAGUCCGGAUUGGAGUCUGCAACUCGACUCCAUGAAGUCGGAAUCGCUAGUAAUCGUAGAUCAGAAUGCUACGGUGAAUACGUUCCCGGGCCUUGUACACACCGCCCGUCACACCAUGGGAGUGGGUUGCAAAAGAAGUAGGUAGCUUAACCUUCGGGAGGGCGCUUACCACUUUGUGAUUCAUGACUGGGGUGAAGUCGUAACAGGGUAACC